rnacentral:rRNA from 1 species
CUAACUCCGAAACUGCAUCGAUACUGGCGUGCUGAGACUGGAGAGGAGACUGGAAUUACGGUGUAGCAGUGAAAUGCGUAGAUAUCGUAAGGAAGACCAGUGGCGAAGGCGGGUCUCUGGACAGUCCUGACACUGAGACACGAAGGCCAGGGGAGCAAACGGGAUUAGAUACCCCGGUAGUCCUGGCAGUAAACGGUGCACGUUUGGUGUGGGAGGAUUCGACCCCUUCUGCGCCGGAGCCAACGCGUUAAACGUGCCGCCUGGGGAGUACGGUCGCAAGAUUAAAACUCAAAGAAAUUGACGGGGGCCCGCACAAGCGGUGGAGUAUGUGGCUCAAUUCGAUGCAACGCGAAGAACCUUACCAGGCCUUGACAUGCAUCUCUAAGCUGGUGAAAGCCAGCGAGUGUCGAAAGACACAAUUUGCACAGGUGCUGCAUGGCUGUCGUCAGCUCGUGUCGUGAGAUGUUGGGUUAAGUCCCGCAACGAGCGCAACCCCUGUGAACUGUUGCCACGGAACCGAGAGGUUCCAGCACUCUGUUCAGACUGCCUCGCUUAAACGAGGAGGAAGGUGGGGAUGACGUCAAGUCAGUAUGGCCCUUACGGCCAGGGCUGCACACGUACUACAAUGGCUGGCACAAAGGGAAGCAAGACCGUCAGGUGGAGCAAAUCCCCAAAAACCAGCCCCAGUUCAGAUUGUCGUCUGCAACUCGACGGCAUGAAGCUGGAAUCGCUAGUAAUGGCGCAUCAGCUACGGCGCCGUGAAUACGUUCCCAGGCCUUGUACACACCGCCCGUCACAUCAUGAAAGCCGUUUGUACCCGAAGUCACUGUAUUAACCGCAAGGGAAGAGGUGCCGAAGGUAUGGAUGGUGAUGGAUGAAGUCGAACAAAACGG